rnacentral:lncRNA from 1 species
GUUAUGUCUUCAUUUAUGAGAUGUUCUACAACUCUUGCCUUAGAAAUAAGACUUAGCUCAAAUACUUUCAAACUACAAAUUAUGCCCCAAGGGCAAGAGUUGACACUACCACAUUGUGUCUUUACUUAUGAGAUGUUCUACAACUCUUGCCUUAGAGGCAAGACUUAGCUCAAAGACUUUCAAACUAUAAAUUAUGCCCCAUGGAAAAGAGUUGAUA